rnacentral:rRNA from 1 species
GACGAACCGUGCGAACGUUAUUCGGAAUCACUGGGCUUAAAGCGCGUGUAGGCGGGUCGUUAAGUGUCCGAGUGAAAUCCCACGGCUCAACCGUGGAACUGCCGGGCAUACUGGCGAUCUUGAGGCAUUCAGGGGCGAGCGGAACAAAUGGUGGAGCGGUGAAAUGCGUAGAUAUCAUUUGGAACGCCAAUGGUGAAAACAGCUCGCUGGGAAUGAUCUGACGCUGAGACGCGAAAGCCAGGG